rnacentral:rRNA from 1 species
UACGUAGGGUGCAAGCGUUGUCCGGAAUUAUUGGGCGUAAAGAGCUCGUAGGCGGUUUGUUGCGUCGGCUGUGAAAUCCCGAGGCUCAACCUCGGGUCUGCAGUCGAUACGAGCAAACUAGAGUGUUGCAGGGGAGACUGGAAUUCCUGGUGUAGCGGUGAAAUGCGCAGAUAUCAGGAGGGAACACCGGUGGCGAAGGCGGGUCUCUGGGCAACAACUGACGCUGGAGGAGCGAAAGCCGUGGGGAGCGAACAGG